rnacentral:tmRNA from 1 species
GGGGUUGACCGGUAUUGACGGUAAGUGUAAGUUAUGUAUUAGCAUGCAGGGUGUAGCGUGUACAUCCUCAAGUAAUUCACGCAAACUAUAAUUGGCGAAUCUAAUUACGCCAUGGCUGCAUAAUCUUAAUUCAUUUUAAGAUUAGCUGAGAAGGGUUGAGUCCCCAAACGGAUUCCCCAGCCACAUUCCUCAGCCCUACGUUUCUUCGGGGCUGGUCAAGGAGUGUCGACUAGAAGGAACUAGCGUGGUGAUGCUAUUAAGCCAUUGCGAAACUUUAGUAGCUAAGGCCUGCCACAGGACUGUUACUUUCCAUAACAGGCUCGAAAACCCAAUUAGUAACUAAGCAUGUAGAAGAUGCAUAGGUUCCUUAUCCGGACGAGGGUUCGAAUCCCUCCAACUCCACCU